CUAUUUGCAACAAGCAAAAACUUGUGAGCCUACUAUUGGGAACCCACUCAGCCCAAUUUACCUGUGAGCCGAAGCAAGAACUCUUAUUUCCCCCGAAUCUGAUUGUGUAAAACUUGCCCUAGACUCAAACCAAACCAAAUCUGAUUUCGCUCUAGACUCACAAAUCUGAUUUCCCAUGGUGGAAGUGUGCUGGGUUCUCCUCAUCCAUUCUCAUUUCCCCCAAAUCUGAUUUCGCUCGAUCGUGUCUGAGUAAGAGAAUCGGAUUUCCCUCUCUCGAUUUCUCUCUAUAGAUCACCAUGGUCUUCUGAAGAAGAGAUCUCCAACGGUAGUCUGAUUCUGGAAACAAGCUUUGGUUCGAAUCAAUCCUUCCUCAUCUGCUACAGCUUGUCGUACAGAAGAAUUGAUGUAAUAAUAUUAGUAUCCCAAUAAGGUAAGGUUGGUUCAUAUGAUAAGCAGAAAUUUGAAGUGAAAUUUUACUAUUAUACAGUUAGCAAAAAACUGAGAGGUGAACAGGUUGAGAUAUACCUUGGCAUUGGCUUUGCAAUAUAGUUGGAACCAAAAUAGUUGGAACAAGAUUUUGAUUGGUUUUGUUUGUUUCUUAUUUUUAUUGUUUGUUUUAUUAUUAUUUUAAAAUUUUGUUUUGAACUGUGAAAAAGUGCGACGGAAAUCAGUGGCAACCUACGCACAACCUAGGAGUGUGCCCCUCACUCCCAAGUCAGUGGAUUUUGAAUGGCUUAAUAGAACAAUUUUGAUGGUCCUAUGCAUUUUCGGCACAGUUUAGAUGGUACCAAGCAUUGUGUGCCAAUCAAUUAGUGUUGACUAAUAUAGAUGCUUAGUUUGUUAUUUCAUUUUAUCAAGGCCUAUAUGUUCAGUUUAUUUAAAUAAAUUUGUUUCUUUUUCUUACACUAUAUAUAUAUAUAUAUAUAUGAUAUUCCAUGUCAGCUUCAAGUUUUUUUAUUCUAGUAUUUUUGUUUAUAGUGAUCAUAUAUAUAUAUAUAUAUAUUUUUUUUUUCUUACCAUUAUAUUUUUCGGAUUUUGUUUUACAUGAUCAAAUUAUAUCUUAUUGUGGUCUCUCUUGGUGCUAUUCUAAUAAUCUGAGCAUAGCAGUAGUUUCCUGGCUCACUGUUGUAUUUUUUGUUUUCUUUCUCAAACCUGAAAAAAAAGUGAACAUAUUUGUCUUUAAUUCUAUCUUUAUUGGUCUUACUAGAGAGCCAUGUUAAUAUUCUCAUCUUUAGUACAUUGAAUUUAUUAAUAUGUUGUUCAUUAAUUUUCCAUUUCAUUACCCAAAAAGAAAGAUAAUUUUGUUAAGGGAAGAAAUGGAAAAUAAUGUAUGAAUGUUGAGAUUUUUGCAAAUAUGUCUUUACAUUUAUUGUAUAUAAUAUUUGAAUAUAUAUAUAUGAUUGUUGGUAUUUUUUUUUUGUUUUUGCGAUGGUAAGAAGAUGGUCGCUAAUACAUUGUAGGCAUUUUUUAAACUCUUUUGCGACGACAAAAUAUCAGUCGCUAUAAGUAGGUUGGCGGUCGCAAAUAGUUUGUGACUGUUGUUUUGCGAUCGCAAAAAGUAUUUGCUACCCCCAUAUUCGCGACCCUCAUUUGCAGUCACAUGGGCCGUCGCAAAAAGUCUUUUGCGACUGUUUUUGUAUUAUUUGCGACGGCUUGUAGCGGUGGCAAAAAGUACUUUUUUUAGUAGUGAUUGUUGGGUAAAUUUGACAGAUAAGAUACCUUCAGGAGUACAUCUGCGGCCAAAAUUAUGUAAGCCCACGUAAUUUUCCUUAACAAUACCAUUAUUGUAGACCAACAGAGUUGGAAGAUUACGAUCCGGAUAGUUAGGAAUACAAUCAGUGGAUGCUAUCUUAACAUAUUUCGUUGCUGGGUAUUUGGUUGCCAGUUCUUCCAAGCAUUGCAGAAGAAUCCCACAUUUUGCGUAUCUAACAAAAAUUGAAGCAGAGAUCAAUACACGCAUGAAUAAGCAUUUAUGAAUGCAUCCACAUCCAAAGACAUGUAUAGUGGACAGAAUUGAGCUAAGCACCUAAGAAGAAACAACAAUCAAUUCCAUAAUGCUAUGUUUAGAUCUUGAAUUUAUCAACAGAAAAA